rnacentral:misc_RNA from 1 species
UUGCAAAACUCCCUAAACCAUUGUGAACGUUACCUAUACCGUUGCUUCGGCGGGCGGCCCCGGGGUUUACCCCCCGGGCGCCCCUGGGCCCCACCGCGGGCGCCCGCCGGAGGUCACCAAACUCUUGAUAAUUUAUGGCCUCUCUGAGUCUUCUGUACUGAAUAAGUCAAAACUUUCAA